rnacentral:rRNA from 1 species
AGCAGCCGCGGUAAUUCCAGCUCCAAUAGCGUAUAUUAAAGUUGUUGCAGUUAAAAGGCUCGUAGUUGAACUUCGGGGUUCACCCAUUGGUCAGGCUUAAUUGUCUGUACUGGUGAGAUGAGUUUCUACCUUCUGAGGAACUUUCAUGCCAUUUAUUUGGUGUGGUUGGAAAUCAGGACUGUUACUUUGAAAAAUUAGAGUGUUUAAAGCAGGCUAACGUCUGAAUACAUUAGCAUGGAAUAAUGAAAUAGGACGGAUUGAUUCUAUUUCGUUGGUUUCUAGGGUCACCGUAAUGAUUAAUAGGGAUAGUUGGGGGCAUUAGUAUUCAAUUGUCAGAGGUGAAAUUCUUGGAUUUAUUGAAGACUAACUACUGCGAGAGCAUUUGCCAAGGAUGUUUCAUUAAUCAAGAACGAAAGUUAGGGGAUCGAAGACGAUCAGAUACCGUCGUAGUCUUAACCAUAAACUAUGCCGACUAGGGAUCGGACGCAGUUAAUUUUAUAAUGACGUGUUCGGCACCUUA